UACGGAGGGGGUUAGCGUUGUUCGGAAUUACUGGGCGUAAGGCGCGCGUAGGCGGACCAGAAAGUUGGGGGUGAAAUCCCGGGGCUUAACCCCGGAACGGCCUCCAAAACUCCUGGUCUUGAGUUCGAGAGAGGUGAGUGGAAUUCCGAGUGUAGAGGUGAAAUUCGUAGAUAUUCGGAGGAACACCAGUGGCGAAGGCGGCUCACUGGCUCGAUACUGACGCUGAGGUGCGAAAGUGUGGGGAGCAAACAGG
rnacentral:rRNA from 1 species